GGAUGUGAAGAUGAUCUGGCUGUGAGAUCUGUCACCCCACUGAGCACCAGGGUUGAUAGCUGAUCUGGCUGGCUAGGCAGGUGUCCCCUCUUCCAUCGCUCCACAUGCGUCCCUCCUGAAGCUGUGUGUUGGGUUGAAGAGGACAAUCUUCCUGCCUAGAGACAGACCAGUCUUGGUUCAAGGGCAUAGGACUGGCUGCACUUCCCUGCUAGAACCUCUGAGCAAGCUCCCAAGGACUCUCCAUACAGUCUACCAUAGGAGCUGCAUCCAUUUACAGUCCCACUAUCAGUGUUACAGGGUCCCUGU
rnacentral:snRNA from 1 species